rnacentral:rRNA from 1 species
AGAGUUUGAUCAUGGCUCAGGACGAACGCUGGCGGCACGCUUAACACAUGCAAGUCGAACGAAGUUAUUUGAGCUUGCUUAGAUAACUUAGUGGCGGACGGGUGAGUAACACGUGAGCAAUCUGCCUUUCAGAGGGGGAUACCGAUUGGAAACGAUCGUUAAUACCGCAUAACAUAGUAAAUUCGCAUGUUUUUACUAUCAAAGAUUUAUCGCUGAAAGAUGAGCUCGCGUCUGAUUAGGUAGUUGGUGAGGUAACGGCCCACCAAGCCGACGAUCAGUAGCCGGACUGAGAGGUUGAACGGCCACAUUGGGACUGAGACACGGCCCAGACUCCUACGGGAGGCAGCAGUGGGGAAUAUUGCACAAUGGAGGAAACUCUGAUGCAGCGAUGCCGCGUGAGGGAAGAAGGUUUUCGGAUUGUAAACCUCUGUGUACAGGGACGAUAAUGAC